rnacentral:rRNA from 1 species
UAACAAGGAUUCCCCUAGUAACUGCGAGUGAAGCGGGAAAAGCUCAAAUUUAAAAUCUGGCAGUCUCUGGCUGUCCGAGUUGUAAUCUAGAGAAGUAAUGCCCGUGCUGGACCGUGUAUAAGUCUCCUGGGAUGGGGCGUCAUAGAGGGUGAGAAUCCCGUCUUUGACACGGACUACCAGUGCAUUGUGGUAUGCUCUCAAAGAGUCGAGUUGUUUGGGAAUGCAGCUCAAAAUGGGUGGUAAAUUCCAUCUAAAGCUAAAUAUUGGCGAGAGACCGAUAGCGAACAAGUACCGUGAGGGAAAGAUGAAAAGAACUUUGGAAAGAGAGUUAAACAGUACGUGAAAUUGCUGAAAGGGAAACGCUUGAAGUCAGUCGCGUUGGCCGGGGAUCAGCCUUGCUUUUGCAUGGUGUAUUUUCUGGUUGACGGGUCAGCAUCAAUUUUGAUCACUGGAAAAGGCUCAAGGGAAUGUGGCAGCUUAGGCUGUGUUAUAGCCCCUGUUCACAUACAGUGGUUGGGAUUGAGGAACUCAGCACGCCGCAAGGCCGGGUUUCGACCACGUUCGUGCUUAGGAUGCUGGCAUAAUGGCUUUAAGCGACCCGUCUUGAAACACGGACCAAGGAGUCUAACAUGCCUGCGAGUAUUUGGGUGGAAAACCCGAGUGCGCAAUGAAAGUGAAAGUUGAGAUCCCUGUCGUGGGGAGCAUCGACGCCCGGACCAGAACUUUUGGGACGGAUCCGCGGUGGAGCAUGUAUGUUGGGACCCGAAAGAUGGUGAACUAUGCCUGAAUAGGGUGAAGCCAGAGGAAACUCUGGUGGAGGCUCGUAGCGAUUCUGACGUGCAAAUCGAUCGUCAAAUUUGGGUAUAGG